UUUACAGUGUAUAAUUAUUUUUUUUAAUGUGCUCUACCAAUUUCUGUAUUAAUUAAUGUAUUUACACUGUUUACAUUUAAUGUGAUCAUUAUGUUAGGGUUAAGCCUGCCGUUUCGUAUUUUCCUUCUAUACAUGUUCUCUAGUUUUCAUGUUGUCUUUUAGCCCGUGUGUUACAUGAACAUUUUUUAGAAUUCCAUUUUGAUUUAUCGUUGGUGUUUUGGGUGUAUCUCUUUUUUGUUUGGAUAAUUUCUUGUAGGUAUUCUUUUAGGGUAGUUCUCCUGUCUUCUGCCAAGUUUGAGAAGUUUUCAUCGUCAUUUCUUGUAGUAUUUCUCCAGGUCUCCUGUUUCGUUUCCUGUGACAUUCCUUGGAUAUGCAAGUGUUCAGCACUCAGGUCAGCUCGGAGAGGUCCCAGGGCCCUGCUCUGUCCCCUCAGUGUCUUCUCUCUCUUGCUGGGUGAUUUCUGUUGCUCUCUGUUCCAGGCCACCUGUCUUUAGUUCCAUUCUAUUGUUGCCUCUAUUGAUUAUUUAGCUUAAGUUAUUGUAUUUUUCAGGUGUAACAUUUCCAUUCGACUCUUCUUUACCGCUUCAGUUUCUGUGUGGAGAUUUUCUGUAUCUUUGUUGACAUAUUCAGGUUUUUCACUUGUUUCAUAGUAUUUAUGUUUGCUCUUUAAUCAUCUUUGUGACGGAGGCUUAAAAUAUUUGCCGGACCUCUAGUAUCUUAAUAUUGGCAUUUACUGCUUGUUUUUCCUUCCAUAUGAAAUCUUAUUAGUUCCUAGUGUGGUGAAUGAUUUUCAGUUAAAAGGUAGAGAUCGUGUUACAAGGCUCUGGAUCUUACUUCAGCAUCCUCCUCUUUAGAGCGCAGCAGAGAUAGAUAGGAGACCCAACUCCCCACCCCCAGGCUCCAGGAGGCCUCCUGGCUGAGCAGGGCUGAUGACAGCACUGACUCUCCAUAAGCCUCCUCCGGCCCACCCUAAUGGAGAGGGAGAGGGCCUGUGCCCGUGGAAGCCUGGACUCCCUGCAUGGUCUCCACUGCCUCCUGGGUUGGGGUCCUCGCCAGUCCAUUGGGAUGAAACCCAGGCUCCCUACUCUGCAUUCUCUGAUGUAGCAAGGUAAGGGUGGAAGUCCAGUCCUCUCUAAGCCUUUUCUUCCUGUGUGUGGGUGAACAUGGCUCUCGUUCUGUGCUGUUUGGCUGGAGGAGAGGACAGGGUCUACCAAACAGGCAGCUCUUUUGAUGGUUUCCUGGCUAAAAGAACAGGCUUUGUUCGGACUUCCUUUGUUCUUUUGAUAUUUCCAGGUUUCCAACAUCUUUAGCUCAGAUUUUUGGUUAAUGGGGCAAAAAGAAAGCCCAGGAAACUCGUCACUGUGCCGCCCUUGGGUCCUGAUGUUCCCAGCCAGUCCCUCUUCAGAGUGUCCUUGUGUGUGUGUGUGUGUGUGUGUGUGUGUGUGUAUAACGUCUAGGAUUCUCAGUGCGCCUAACAGGAGCAAAAGGAAAAGUGCAUCUCACAUCUCACAGGGGAGAAUGUUCCUCUGAAUUCACAGCACUUCAUUACGCUUUUGCCCACCAGAUUAUGUGGCUUCUUCCCACAUCAAGCAAUUCUCUAUUCCUCUGCAGAAACCAGAGUUUAGUUCUGACUGUUUACCUGGAGUGAGCAUGAGGUCCACAGGUAAAGGGCUCCAUUCCAUGAGAUGCCCCACUUGCAAUGACAGUCGCAGUUCCCCCUUGUCACCUGUGCUUUGCCCUGACCCACCAUAUUCAGGAAUUUCCACAAUCCUCUCCUUGGGCUCAGUAAUUGCUAAAGUGACUCACACAAACAAACAAAAAAAUCAGUUUGGGACUGGGGUUGUGGCUCAGCAGUAGAGCACUUGCCCAGCACAUGCGAGGCCCUGGGUUCCAUCCUCAGCACUACAUAAAAAUAAAUAAAUAAAAUAAAGGUAUUGUGCCCAACUACAACUAAAAAAUAAAUAUUAAAAGGAAAGUUUAUUUACUAGAUUGCUGGUUUGUUAUAAAAAGGAUACAAAUAAAAAGGAUACAAAUCAGGAACAACUAAAUGGAAGAGAAACAGAGGGCAAAUUAUGUGGGAAGGGGUGCAGAGCGUCAGUGCCCUCUCAGAUGCCACACCCACAGGCCUUCAAGUGUCUGCCUCGGGCCUCCAGGGGUCUUACGGAGUCUUGGCCUUGGUGACCACUCCACCUUCAGUCCCUCUCCCUUCACAGGAGGAGGGCUGAAGGUUCCAACCCUCUAAGCAAGAGGUUGGCUCCCCUGGCUCCAGCCCCCACACUGAGCUCUGCAGGAGUGCCCCCCAUCCCCUGCCACCAAACAGGUCCUUGGCAUGCAAAGGACUCUCCACCUCUGAGAUCCUAAGGGACUUAUGGAAGCCAGACUAUGUUAUAUGCAUCUACUCCACUUUCCUGGAAACCAUCAUUCUAUUUUAAAUUUGCAUUUCCAUAAAAACAAGUGUUCCAUACCUUUUAGAUACUUUUUGAACAUUUUAUUUCUGUUAAAUGCCUAUUUGAAUUUUUGACAAUUUUUUUUUUUAAAUUGAAUUGUCUGGUUUUUUGUUUUGUUUAGUUGUUUUUUUCUUCAUUUAAUGAUUUGUAAUUUUUCAUAUAGUCUGGGCACAUUCCUUAUUAUGUACUAGUAGUUUUCUCUCAGCAACUUCCCUUUUCAGUCCCUUUUGAUGAAUACAAGGUCAUAAUUUUAAUGAAUUCC
rnacentral:lncRNA from 1 species